CGUAGGUGGCAAGCGUUGUCCGGAAUUAUUGGGCGUAAAGCGCGCGCAGGCGGUCCUUUAAGUCUGAUGUGAAAGCCCACGGCUCAACCGUGGAGGGUCAUUGGAAACUGGGGGACUUGAGUACAGAAGAGAAGAGUGGAAUUCCACGUGUAGCGGUGAAAUGCGUAGAGAUGUGGAGGAACACCAGUGGCGAAGGCGACUCUUUGGUCUGUAACUGACGCUGAGGCGCGAAAGCGUGGGGAGCAAACAGGAUUAGAUGCCCUGGUAGUCCACGCCGUAAACGAUGAGUGCUAAGUGUUAGAGGGUUUCCGCCCUUUAGUGCUGCAGCAAACGCAUUAAGCACUCCGCCUGGGGAGUACGGCCACAAGGCUG
rnacentral:rRNA from 1 species